UCAAUUAGGUCCUCCUUUAUGAAUUUUCUC
rnacentral:piRNA from 1 species